UACGGGGGGUGCAAGCGUUGUCCGGAAUCAUUGGGCGUAAAGCGCGUGUAGGCGGCCAUCCAAGUCCGAUGUGAAAGCUCGGGGCUCAACCCCGAGUCUGCAUUGGAAACUGGAUGGCUUGAGUCCGGAAGAGGAGACUGGAAUUCCUGGUGUAGCGGUGAAAUGCGCAGAUAUCAGGAAGAACACCGGUGGCGAAGGCGGGUCUCUGGGACGGUACUGACGCUGAGACGCGAAAGCGUGGGGAG
rnacentral:rRNA from 1 species